AACGAACGCUGGCGGCAUGCCUAACACAUGCAAGUCGAACGAAGGCUUCGGCCUUAGUGGCGCACGGGUGCGUAACGCGUGGGAAUCUGCCCUUGGGUUCGGAAUAACUCAGAGAAAUUUGAGCUAAUACCGGAUGAUGACGUAAGUCCAAAGAUUUAUCGCCCAAGGAUGAGCCCGCGUAAGAUUAGCUAGUUGGUGGGGUAAAGGCCUACCAAGGCGACGAUCUUUAGCUGGUCUGAGAGGAUGAUCAGCCACACUGGGACUGAGACACGGCCCAGACUCCUACGGGAGGCAGCAGUGGGGAAUAUUGGACAAUGGGCGAAAGCCUGAUCCAGCAAUGCCGCGUGCGGGACGAAGGCCUCGG
rnacentral:rRNA from 1 species